GGAUUAGAUACCCUGGUAGUCCACGCCGUAAACGAUGUCUACUAGCCGUUGGGGUCCUUGAGACUUUAGUGGCGCAGUUAACGCGAUAAGUAGACCGCCUGGGGAGUACGGCCGCAAGGUUAAAACUCAAAUGAAUUGACGGGGGCCCGCACAAGCGGUGGAGCAUGUGGUUUAAUUCGAUGCAACGCGAAGAACCUUACCUGGUCUUGACAUAGUGAGAAUCCUGUAGAGAUGCGGGAGUGCCUUCGGGAAUUCACAUACAGGUGCUGCAUGGCUGUCGUCAGCUCGUGCCG
rnacentral:rRNA from 1 species